AGCAGGAAGAGAGCAGGCAGCAGCAACCGAACACCGGAACCAUCGAGCGGCUGCUGCUGCUACAAGCUAACCGGAGAAACGGCUCUGCUCCCGGAGCCACCGGAGGACCAGCGACCGGAGGACCAGCGACCGGAGGACCAGCGACCGGAGGACCACCGACACUGCUACCGACCGGAUGCUCGGUUCACAGUUAACGGAGUGACGUCACAAGGUGUGUCAGGAUGCUGCAGCUCCCCCUGGUGGUGACGGUUCAGGUGGACGUCGUCCUGCUUCUCGUCUCCUUCCUGUCUCUCUGGACCCGCCUGAACCGCCUCGGAUACCCCAACGCUGUGGUGUUUGAUGAGGUCUACUACGGCCAGUUUGUGUCCCUCUACAUGAAGAGAGUCUUCUUCCUGGACGACAGCGGGCCGCCGCUCGGUCACAUGAUCCUGGCCCUCGGAGCGUACCUCGGAGGAUUUGAUGGAAACUUUGUGUGGAACCGAAUCGGAGCAGGUAGGAACAUCAGAGUACCGUGUGUGUGUGUGUGUGUGUGUGUGUGUGUGUGUGUGUGUGUGUGUGUGUGUGUGUGUGUGUGUGUGUGUGU